GGCACAUAAUUGCUCUUAAUUAUUAAGGAGAGCAGUUAUGUUUUUAGACUCUGUUGUUGUUUCAGGUUUGAUUAUUGUUGGACUAAUGGUGGCAUUUUUUGCUGGUUUUGGUUAUGUCGGAUAUAAAAAAUAUAAAAAGGAAGUUAAGUGAUCAAGCCUUAACGUCUUAUCU
rnacentral:sRNA from 1 species